rnacentral:sRNA from 1 species
UCAGCGGUUUGGGUAGCGUUCAAAGAAC